rnacentral:rRNA from 1 species
UACGAAGGGGGCUAGCGUUGCUCGGAAUUACUGGGCGUAAAGCGCGCGUAGGCGGACCUGCAAGUCGGGGGUGAAAGCCCGAGGCUCAACCUCGGAACUGCCUUCGAUACUGCGGGUCUCGAGUCCGGGAGAGGUGAGUGGAAUUCCUAGUGUAGAGGUGAAAUUCGUAGAUAUUAGGAAGAACACCAGUGGCGAAGGCGGCUCACUGGCCCGGUACUGACGCUGAGGCGCGAAAGCGUGGGGAGCAAACAGGG